CCUACGGGAGGCAGCAGUGGGGAAUAUUGGACAAUGGGCGCAAGCCUGAUCCAGCAAUGCCGCGUGAGUGAUGAAGGCCUUAGGGUUGUAAAGCUCUUUUACCCGGGAAGAUAAUGACUGUACCGGGAGAAUAAGCCCCGGCUAACUCCGUGCCAGCAGCCGCGGUAA
rnacentral:rRNA from 1 species